UACGUAGGGGGGCAAGCGUUGUCCGGAAUCAUUGGGCGUAAAGAGCGUGUAGGCGGCUCGAUAAGUCCGCUGUGAAAGUCCAGGGCUCAACCCUGGAAGGCCGGUGGAAACUGUCGGGCUGGAGUCCGGAAGAGGCGAGUGGAAUUCCUGGUGUAGCGGUGAAAUGCGCAGAUAUCAGGAGGAACACCAAUGGCGAAGGCAGCUCGCUGGGACGGUACUGACGCUGAGACGCGAAAGCGUGGGGAGCAAACAGG
rnacentral:rRNA from 1 species